CAGUCGCCGCGGUAAUACGUAGGUGGCAAGCGUUGUCCGGAAUUAUUGGGCGUAAAGCGCGCGCAGGUGGUUUGUUAAGUUGGAUGUGAAAUCCCCGGGCUCAACCUGGGAACUGCAUCCAAAACUGGCAAGCUAGAGUAUGGUAGAGGGUGGUGGAAUUUCCUGUGUAGCGGUGAAAUGCGUAGAUAUAGGAAGGAACACCAGUGGCGAAGGCGACCACCUGGACUGAUACUGACACUGAGGUGCGAAAGCGUGGGGAGCAAACAGGAUUAGAUACCCCUGUAGUCCCUGUCUCUUAUAA
rnacentral:rRNA from 1 species